rnacentral:sRNA from 1 species
GUAUUAUUAUAUAGAAGUAUUCCUAAUAAAGUUUUGAUUCACACAUUUUUGUAAGUCAUUAUUCUAUUAAUAGCUUACAAAAGUGUGUGAUUUUUUAUUUUGUGGAAAUAUAAUAUUAUAAUUCAGGAGGUAUCUUUCAUGAACGAAGGUACAGUAAAAUGGUUUAACUCAACAAAAGGUUUUGGUUUUAUUACAAAUGAUUCCGACGGAGAAGAUGUAUUUGUACACUUUUCAGGAAUUGUUAAUGAUGGUUACAAAUCUUUAGACGAAGGACAGAAAGUAACAUUUGAAAUCACUAGAGGAGCCCGUGGUCUUCAGGCAACUGAUGUCCGUGGAUUAUAAUCCUUUAUAAAAUAUUUUUAAAUGU